rnacentral:misc_RNA from 1 species
GGGUGGGCUUGCAAGUGAGGUUGGGAUUGGGACCAUAUGAUCUUUGCUAAUGUAAUAAGCAUCAGCAAGGUGUUAAUUAAUUUUUCAAGUUGGAAAUUUUAUGCCCUCCCAACAACCGACUAAGCAAGUGAGGCUCUUGUGUUUUGACGAGGUACGUCCUAAUAAUCACCAGUCACAUCCCUUGUGGUCAUCAUUUUCUGGGUUUGUCUGUUUUUGUUCAGGGAUUCCAUUAUUCUCCCUCUCCGCGGCAAAUUGGAUUGGAUGCUCGGGUCAAACCUCUGCUUUCUGAAUUCUGAACCUAGUGUUUUACCAGUGUUGAGAUUUGUGUUGGGCCUUGAGGGAACUAUGAAUUCUGGGCCUAAUUGUGAUAUAAACAAGGGUCGCUGACGCUGAGGCUGAUACGAAGUUUCAGAGCUUGGUGAUUAAAAUCACAUAAGAAAAGAUCCAAGAAAAUUUAGGUUCAUCCUAUUUAAAGUAGUUUUAAUUUCUUCAUAUGGUACACCAUUUGAAGCCAUUUUUAAAUAUUUUUAUACAUAACAUUUUC